GAGUUUGAUCCUGGCUCAGAUUGAACGCUGGCGGCAGGCUUAACACAUGCAAGUCGAGCGGGGAAGUAUAGCUUGCUAUACGACCUAGCGGCGGACGGGUGAGUAAUGCUUAGGAAUCUGCCUAUUAGUGGGGGACAACAUUCCGAAAGGAAUGCUAAUACCGCAUACGCCCUACGGGGGAAAGCAGGGGAUCUUCGGACCUUGCGCUAAUAGAUGAGCCUAAGUCAGAUUAGCUAGUUGGUGGGGUAAAGGCCUACCAAGGCGACGAUCUGUAGCGGGUCUGAGAGGAUGAUCCGCCACACUGGGACUGAGACACGGCCCAGACUCCUACGGGAGGCAGCAGUGGGGAAUAUUGGACAAUGGGCGCAAGCCUGAUCCAGCCAUGCCGCGUGUGUGAAGAAGGCCUUUUGGUUGUAAAGCACUUUAAGCGAGGAGGAGGCUACUUGGAUUAAUACUCUAGGAUAGUGGACGUUACUCGCAGAAUAAGCACCGGCUAACUCUGUGCCAGCAGCCGCGGUAAUACAGAGGGUGCGAGCGUUAAUCGGAUUUACUGGGCGUAAAGCGUGCGUAGGCGGCUUUUUAAGUCGGGUGUGAAAUCCCUGAGCUUAACUUAGGAAUUGCAUUCGAUACUG
rnacentral:rRNA from 1 species